rnacentral:rRNA from 1 species
CCUACGGGUGGCAGCAGUAGGGAAUAUUGCACAAUGGGCGAAAGCCUGAUGGAGCAACGCCGCGUGGGUGAAGAAGGCCUUCGGAUUGUAAAACCCUGUUGUUAGAGAAGAAAGUGCGGGAGAGUAACUGUUCACGUUUUGACGGUAACUAACCAGAAAGCCACGGCUAACUACGUGCCAGCAGCCGCGGUAAUACGUAGGGGGCAAGCGUUAUCCGGAUUUAUUGGGCGUAAAGGGAACGCAGGCGGUCUGUUAAGUCUGAUGUGAAAGCCUUCGGCUUAACCGGGGAACUGCAUCUGAAACUGGGAGACUUGAGUGUAGGAGAGGGGAGUGGAACUCCAUGUGUAGCGGUGAAAUGCGUAGAUAUCUGGAAGAACACCAGUGGCGAAGGCGGCUCUCUGGACUGUAACUGACGCUGAGGUUCGAAAGCGUGGGUAGCAAACAGGAUUAGAUACCCCUGUAGUC